rnacentral:rRNA from 1 species
GACGAACGCUGGCGGCGUGCCUAACACAUGCAAGUCGAGCGAAGGGAGUGCUACGGUACGAACUUAGCGGCGGACGGGUGAGUAACUCGGGGAUAAUCUACCCUGUAGACUGGGAUAACACUGCGAAAGUGGUGCUAAUACCGGAUAAUGUCGAGAAGCGGCAUCGCUUUUCGAAGAAAGGAGGGAAUCCGCUAUAGGAGGAGUCCGCGUCCCAUUAGCUAGUUGGUGAGGGUAACGGCCCACCAAGGCGACGAUGGGUAGCCGGCCUGAGAGGGUGAACGGCCACACUGGAACUGAGACACGGUCCAGACUCCUACGGGAGGCAGCAGUGGGGAAUAUUGUGCAAUGGGGGAAACCCUGACACAGCGACGCCGCGUGAGUGAAGAAGGCCUUCGGGUCGUAAAGCUCAAUAGUAUGGGAAGAAAGAAAUGACGGUACCAUACGAAAGCCCCGGCUAACUACGUG